rnacentral:rRNA from 1 species
CCAGACUCCUACGGGAGGCAGCAGUGAGGAAUAUUGGUCAAUGGUCGGGAGACUGAACCAGCCAAGCCGCGUGAGGGAUGAAGGUACAGAGUAUCGUAAACCUCUUUUGUCAGGGAACAAAGGCGGGGACGUGUCCCCGGAUGAGUGUACCUGAAGAAAAAGCAUCGGCUAACUCCGUGCCAGCAGCCGCGGUAAUACGGAGGAUGCGAGCGUUAUCCGGAUUUAUUGGGUUUAAAGGGUGCGUAGGCGGCCUGGAAAGUCAGCGGUAAAAUCGAGAGGCUCAACCUCUUUCCGCCGUUGAAACUGUCGGUCUUGAGUGGGCGAGAAGUAUGCGGAAUGCGUGGUGUAGCGGUGAAAUGCUUAGAUAUCACGAAGAACUCCGAUUGCGAAGGCAGCCUACUAAACUGCCACUGACAUUGAUGCUCGAAAGUGUGGGUAUCAAACAGGAUUAGAUACCCUCGUA